rnacentral:rRNA from 1 species
CCUACGGGCGGCAGCAGUGAGGAAUAUUGGGCAAUGGACGAGAGUCUGAACCAGCCAAGUAGCGUGAAGGAUGACUGCCCUAUGGGUUGUAAACUUCUUUUAUAUGGGAAUAAAACGUUCCACGUGUGGGAUUUUGUAUGUACCAUAUGAAUAAGGAUCGGCUAACGCCGUGCCAGCAGCCGCGGUAAUACGGAGGAUCCGAGCGUUAUCCGGAUUUAUUGGGUUUAAAGGGAGCGUAGGGGGAUUGUUAAGUCAGUUGUGAAAGUUUGCGGCUCAACCGUAAAAUUGCAGUUGAAACUGGCAGUCUUGAGUACAGUAGAGGUGAGCGGAAUUCGAGGUGUAGCGGUGAAAUGCUUAGAUAGCUCGAAGAACUCCGAUGGCGAAGGCAGUUCUCUGGACUGCAACUGACACUGAGGCUCGAAAGUGUGGGUAGCAAACAGGAUUAGAUACCCGGGUAGUC